AGAGUUUGAUCAUGGCUCAGGAUGAACGCUGGCGGUAUGCUUAACACAUGCAAGUCGAACGGAGUGCUUCGGCACUUAGUGGCGGACGGGUGAGUAACACGUGAGAAUCUGCCUUCAGGUCGGGGAUAACAGGGGGAAACUCCUGCUAAUACCGGAUGUGCCUUCGGGUGAAAGAUUUAUUGCCUGAAGAUGAGCUCGCGUCUGAUUAGCUAGUUGGUGGGGUAAGAGCCCACCAAGGCGACGAUCAGUAGCUGGUCUGAGAGGAUGAUCAGCCACACUGGGACUGAGACACGGCCCAGACUCCUACGGGAGGCAGCAGUGGGGAAUUUUCCGCAAUGGGCGAAAGCCUGACGGAGCAAUACCGCGUGGGGGAGGAAGGCCCUUGGGUCGUAAACCUCUUUUCUCAGGGAAGAAAUUUGACGGUACCUGAGGAAUAAGCAUCGGCUAACUCCGUGCCAGCAGCCGCGGUAAUUC
rnacentral:rRNA from 1 species